rnacentral:lncRNA from 1 species
UUGCUGCAAAGAGCUUCAAACAUGUGCCAUGGACUCGUGGGUGUUCUUAAUCAAUGCUAAGUAACAUUCAAUUGUUUCCUAUGUUAUCUUCAGUAUUAUCUCAAUCCAUGCCAAUAGGAUUUUCCAGAGUGAAAUGACGAUGAACAACUUCAAUUCCCAAAUAAAUAAGGGUAUAUUUUACAUUGCCCAAGCAUAGAAAAAAUUAAUGUAUAAGCACCAACCCUCUGUAUAACCGACUAAGUCAUUCUGUUCAUCAAAUCCACUAUGACUAUGUUCAGGACCAAAAACCUAGCCAGUUGAAAAUUGUCAUACUGUACUAGCUUUGCUCCAUAUGUCGAGAUGGUUAAGGUGCUCUUCCGUGGAUGGCAUGUCUGACUCCUGAUGACCAUCUUCUACGUUUUCUAGAGAUGCACUUUAUUUGCAAUGCCUUCACUUGCAGAAGAUAGUGCACAUAGUAAGACAGCACUAAGACCUCAUCCGACUAAUCUCUCACAUAGACCAUGAAUUUAAUAAGGGUAGAGCAUCACACAAAGAGGGUUUCAGUUUAUUCAAUUAUAAAAAAAUAAAUUAGAAUAUGGAUUAUCAACUUCUGCUUUUCUAAGCAACAGUUCAUUGCCAGAUUAAGCUUUAAGAAUCACGAGCUAAAAUACUUAGACAUGGAAACAGGUCUAUCGAUAGCAAGACCAUGGCAAUGUUUGGAUCACAUAUUAAAGGUCUAAUAUCAAGUCAAGCAUAAAGACGGGCAAGGUUACCUCCAAGAUAAAGGUCCAUGCUUGCUGCAUGGAUAUAAUUAGAUAUGAUAAGCUUUUCAUGCUCCUUUAACCCGCCUGUAGUAACCCUGUAAAGGAACUAGAUUUGGAAGUUUGAUGCUCCCAAGUUU